GGGGGGGGGGGGGGGGGGGCGGGGGACAGGGGGGGCGGGGGGGGAGGCGCGGCUGUGGGGGGGUGCGCGGGGGGCGCGCGGGUGGGUGGCGCGGGAGUACCCUGCCCUUGACGUUGUGCUCGCUUCAGGAAGCUUGGUCUAAUACCGGCUCGGAGCUCCUGCUUCACUGGUGGUGUUGUGCAGUUUAGGCUGGUGGUGAUGGACUCGCGGCUUAUCCGCAUGUUGGUGGGGUAGUGGCUUACCAAGGCUUUGACGGGUAGCCGGCCUGAGGGGGUGACAGGCCACAUUGGGACUGAGAUACGGACCAGACUCCUACGGGAGGCAGUAGUGGGGAAUAUUGCACAAUGGGCGGAAGCCUGAUGCAGCAACGCCGCGUGCGGGAUGACGGCCUUCGGGUUGUAAACCGCUUUCGCCUGUGACGAAGCGUGAGUGACGGUAAUGGGUAAAGAAGCACCGGCUAACUACGUG
rnacentral:rRNA from 1 species